CCCAAAAUAUAAAACUUGAUAUAUCUUGAAUCUGGAUAUAUGCUCUGCUCUAACGUACGUGCGUCUUAUCUGAUAUUUAUUGUUUGUGAUGUGAUGAUUUGAAAAAGUAAUAAUUAAAAAAAAUGUAACUAUAAUUUUAAGCAGUUUUUUUUACUUUAGUAGACAUUCUUGGUGGCCCCAUUUUAAUUCCAGGUGACCCCACAUGUGGUCCUCACCCUAAGGUUAAAAAUACUGCUCGAACUGCUCCUCCUCUGUGCUCCAUGUCUGCAUACAGUGGAUGUUGCUGUACAGAUAGACCUGAUGCUGUUAUUCUGAUGUAAUGUCUGUAGAUGAAGGAGGAUUCCUGGAGUUUCUGACCAGACAUCCUGGUCUGGAGUUGUCUAACGGCCUGGUGUAUGUGAAACGUACGCCUGCACCCGUGCACGAGCUCCACUGGCCGGUGCUUCCUGCUGUGGUCAGAGAAGGUUGGAGCGCUGUGAGCUCACCUCCACACAGUGUUCAUCCUCACUGCAGAGGAGACGCCCCCCCCCAGUGGACGAGCCUUCAACAGACUCAGGUGAGCAGUGAUUGGCUGUCCUGGCAGACCCAGAGUGGAAGGACCACCCCUUCACAGACAGAUGUGACGUUACCUUUGAGCGUCUCUGCAGACAUGGAGCUGAAAUGUUCUGCAUCAAGGCAACGCCUCGUUCCCCACGUUUCAACGAGUAAACGUGUUCGUAAAGAGACGCCCCUGAUGGACACGCCCCUGAUGGAGGGGCGACGUGACGUGAACGUUGAUGGUGAAACCAGCCGAAACCUUGAAGCUCAGGCCAAAGGCUUCCGGGACGUUCCGGUGAAUGACGGCAGCAUCCUGGUGUAUGUGACUGGAGACGACCUGAUGAGAGAGCGCUCUCUGUCCCACGUUAUCAGCCAGAAGUCGACGCCCCCCACCACCACAAUCAGCACCCAGACCCCACCCACCACCAUCAGCACCAAGACCCCACCCAGCACCAUCAGCACCCAGACCCCACCCACCACCAUCAGCACCAAGACCCCACCCACCACCAUCAGCACCCAGACCCCACCCACCACCAUCAGCACCAAGACCCCACCCAGCACCAUCAGCACCCAGACCCCACCCACCACCAUCAGCACCCAGACCCCACCCAGCACCAAGACCCCACCCAGCACCAUCAGCACCAAGACCCCACCCAGCACCAUCAGCACCCAGACCCCACCCAGCACCAUCAGCACCCAGACCCCUAAACCGGAAACCGUGGACAAGCACUUCAACACGGUGGUCCUCAGUUCAGACCUGGACCACAUCGCAGAGGAAUUUCUCAAACUCAGACGGUUGUUACUACAAAAGGAGAAGAACGCCAGAGAGCGUGCUGUGAGCGAGCAGCGUGCACAGCAGGCCGAGCUCAGUCUGCUGACUCUGCAGUUUGUCAUGUGCAAACAGCACUGCUCUGGAAGCUUCUGCUCGUCUGCUGAGGAGCUCCAGCAUCACCCGCAGAAUGAAGCCCCUCCUGCUGAUGUGAUGAAGGUUUUGCAGAGACUGGAGUCAGACUGGGAGAACAUGAAGGAGCAGGUGUUGGCUGGGGUCCCUCUGGAGGGUCUCCAGCCUCUCUGUGUGGACUCUUUUGUUCCAGCUCAGAUCAUCACUGACACUCUGAGCAAAGCUUCUCUCAGGAGCUCCCAGAAUCCUUCAGGAGAAGCUGAUGGAAGCACAGACGAGGAGCAGAAGAAGAACCAGGAGGAACCGAGCAACCACGUAGAGCCAACCAACCAGGAUCAGGACGGAAACAUGAGCUGUGAGGAUCUCAGUGUCUCUGAGGCCUGGUUUGAUGCUGAGGAGUAUCUCCAGCCUCCACAGCACACUGGGAGCAGAGAUGGAGGAUCAUCUGACCUUCAUCACCACUGAUGGUUCCACAGGUAGAGACGGAUUCAAUUGAAGAUGAAGCUCCAGCGAUGAAGAUGAUUCCUGAUCAGGCCGUUGAGAGUUUUUCUUUUUUUAAUCUAUUGUUUCAGAGAAACAGACUCCUGUUGUUCAUAGAGGAAGGAAAACGACACUGACGAGC
ensembl:lncRNA RNA-binding protein 44-like